CAGAGGAGCGCAGUGCAGUUGGGAGAGCGCAGCCCCCAUUGAUGGGGAGAGGUGGAGGGAACAGAAAAUAUCUGUAUUUGCACCGGGGCGAAAAGAGAGGAAAAGGGAAAGAAAAGAAAAUGAAGAGGAAUCAUCAAAGCACUUUCAGACCAGAAUCUGCUUCAAACAAAAUUCUGUACUCUCUUUGCUAACCGGAUGGAUGUCACUAAGAGACGCGGGUACUGAGCGCUUCUGCAACAAAACCCACCUCCGUUCCCGCACCCGGAGCUGAGCGGCUCGGGGCCGGGGGGGCCCUGCACUAGGGGGCAGCCGCACGCCGGUAACAUCGGCUCCGAACCGCGAGGAGCGGGAUGAACCAGCCGCGUUUGUAAAGAAAACAACUCCCACCGCCUGCAGCAGGAAAUCACUAUUUGGGUUUAUGAGGCACCUCUUCCUGACGAGCUGCACACAGCGGUCUCCGCUUGCUCUGCAGGGCGGGUAUCCCCCCAGCACCGGGCAGCAGGAUGGGCUGGUGGCACUGCUGCAGACCUCGUGCAACGGCUGUGGUGUCUGCGAGAGGGGGAAUGAGGGCUGCUGGAGCUGCUGGCCGUGGUGAUGGCAGCUGAGACGACAGAAGGGAGGUAGAGGCAAAGCGGCGCCGAUAGGCUUGCAGCGCUCCGUGUGCACUGAGGUGCUGAGUGUGUAAGGAAUGUGACGGAAAUGGAAAUAAACUCACUCUGAGUUCUAUCGGCCACAUUUCCCAGCUCAGGCCCAUGGCAGAGGGUGCGAUCGGCCCAGGUAACAUGAAGUGAAAUGCCAGGCAGGAUCUGCCCCCCCAUGGCCCCACACACCUAACCUGCCCCAUGCCUGGUGGUGCUGCGCCGUGUGUGUUCAUCCAGCUGUCCAGAUGGGCUUCUCGGAACCGCAGCACAGCCGCAGCCCUUAAC